GAUGAACGCUGGCGGCGUGCCUAAUACAUGCAAGUCGAGCGAACAGAUGAGGAGCUUGCUCCUCUGACGUUAGCGGCGGACGGGUGAGUAACACGUGGAUAACCUACCUAUAAGACUGGGAUAACUUCGGGAAACCGGAGCUAAUACCGGAUAAUAUAUUGAACCGCAUGGUUCAAUAGUGAAAGACGGUUUUGCUGUCACUUAUAGAUGGAUCCGCGCCGCAUUAGCUAGUUGGUAAGGUAACGGCUUACCAAGGCAACGAUGCGUAGCCGACCUGAGAGGGGGAUCGGCCACACUGGAACGGAGACACGGUCCAGACUCCUACGGGAGGGAGCAGUAGGGAAUCUUCCGCAAUGGGCGGAAGCCUGACGGAGCAACGCCGCGUGAGUGAUGAAGGUCUUCGGAUCGUAAAACUCUGUUAUUAGGGAAGAACAAAUGUGUAAGUAACUAUGCACGUCUUGACGGUACCUAAUCAGAAAGCCACGGCUAACUACGUG
rnacentral:rRNA from 1 species